rnacentral:rRNA from 1 species
GAUGAACGCUGGCGGCGUGCCUAAUACAUGCAAGUCGAGCGAACAGACGAGGAGCUUGCUCCUCUGACGUUAGCGGCGGACGGGUGAGUAACACGUGGAUAACCUACCUAUAAGACUGGGAUAACUUCGGGAAACCGGAGCUAAUACCGGAUAAUAUAUUGAACCGCAUGGUUCAAUAGUGAAAGACGGUUUUGCUGUCACUUAUAGAUGGAUCCGCGCCGCAUUAGCUAGUUGGUAAGGUAACGGCUUACCAAGGCAACGAUGCGUAGCCGACCUUAGAGGGUGAUCGGCCACACUGGAACUGAGACACGGUCCAGACUCCUACGGGAGGCCGCGGUAGGGAAUCUUCCGCAAUGGGCGAAAGCCUGACGGAGCAACGCCGCGUGAGUGAUGAAGGUCUUCGGAUCGUAAAACUCUGUUAUUAGGGAAGAACAAAUGUGUAAGUAACUAUGCACGUCUUGACGGUACCUAAUCAGAAAGCCACGGCUAACUACGUG